GGCAACCUGGCGGCGUGCCUAAUCAUGCAAGUCGAGCGGAGUUAUGAAGGAGCUUGCUCUGGAUUAACUUAGCGGCGGACGGGUGAGUAACACGUAGGCAACCUGCCCUUCAGACUGGGAUAACUACCGGAAACGGUAGCUAAUACCGGAUAAUUCCUUUCUUCGCCUGAAGGAAGGAUGAAAGACGGAGCAAUCUGUUACUGAGGGAUGGGCCUGCGGCGCAUUAGCUAGUUGGUGGGGUAACGGCUCACCAAGGCGACGAUGCGUAGCCGACCUGAGAGGGUGAACGGCCACACUGGGACUGAGACACGGCCCAGACUCCUACGGGAGGCAGCAGUAGGGAAUCUUCCGCAAUGGGCGAAAGCCUGACGGAGCAACGCCGCGUGAGUGAUGAAGGUUUUCGGAUCGUAAAGCUCUGUUGCCAGGGAAGAACGUUCUCUAGAGUAACUGCUAGAGAAGUGACGGUACCUGAGAAGAAAGCCCCGGCUAACUACGUGCCAGCAGCCGCGGUAAU
rnacentral:rRNA from 1 species